AAGUCGUAACAAGGUUUCCGUAGGUGAACCUGCGGAAGGAUCAUUACCAAUAUAGCGAACCGAGCGUUAGCGAGGCUUCGCGAUCAAAUUUGUAUUUAAAACCCAACUCUUUAAAUGUAAUAUAUUAUUGUAUUUUAAAUAAUAAAGAUCACUUUCAACAACGGAUCUCUUGGUUCUC
rnacentral:misc_RNA from 1 species